GGGCCCGCACAAGCGGUGGAGUAUGUGGUUUAAUUCGAUGCAACGCGAAGAACCUUACCAGGGUUUGACAUCCUGCGAAUCUCUUGGAAACAGGAGAGUGCCUUCGGGAACGCAGUGACAGGUGGUGCAUGGCUGUCGUCAGCUCGUGUCGUGAGAUGUUGGGUUAAGUCCCGCAACGAGCGCAACCCACGUCUUUAGUUGCCAGCAUUUAGUUGGGCACUCUAGAGAGACUGCCGGUGACAAACUGGAGGAAGGAAAGGAUGAUGUCAAGUCAUCAUGGCCCUUAUGGGCUGGGCUACACACGUGCUACAAUGGUGGUUACAAAAAGACGCAAUAGGGCGACCUGGAG
rnacentral:rRNA from 1 species